GCGAGCAGCGGGGUCCUGGUGUGCAUUACGGGGAGCUGCGUUCAGGUCCUGCUGUAACCGUGAUGGGAAUGAGUGUGAAGACAUAGGUGUGUGUGUGGCUGAGUCACUUCACAGCAGAGACUAAGUCAACUCCAGUUAAAAAGGCCCUUCCACUUCUGUCCCCUUAAAACACGUCGGUGUUAGGAAAACUACACCAAUGUGUCUGCAGUCGACUCUAGUCCUGGAGUAGCUGCGCCCUCCUGUGCCGCAGUUUAUGGUCUCUGCUGCUCUGUUAAUGUUUUUGCACUGAGUUAGUGAAAAGAGUGGGGAAGGCAAUGGGACCCCACUCCAGUACUCUUGCCUGGAAAAUCCCAUGGACGGAGGAGCCUGGUGGGCUGUAGUCCAUGGGGUUGCGAAGAGUCGGACACAACUGAGCGUCUUCACUUUCACUUUUCACUUUCAUGCAUUGGGGAAGGAAAUGGCAACCCACUCCAGUGUUCUUGCCUGGAGAAUCCCAGACUCAGGGGAGCCUGGUGGGCUGCUGUCGGUGGGGUCGCACAGAGUCGGACACGACAGCGACUCAGCAGCAGCAGUGAAAAGAGACUGGAUGCAGUCAGCGUGGGGGGAGGGCGCACGGCUGGGUCUUUUCAGCUCUGGUCACACUUGCCACACACGUGUGUGCCUGAGGGGGCCUCCCGCUGCCGUCACACAGUCAGGUUUAGCAUGAUUCCCUUCAGUGACCAAGCUCAGAAAGUGUUUACCAUCCCUGAAGUGCUGAAACGUUAAAACUGUAAAAAAUAACGAUGUGCAUCAGGCAACUCUUGGCGCCUGAGAACUCUCGGCCAUCUGACCGCUGGUCCCUGCACCUUGUCAUCAGAUCCCCUGUCAUGGUGGCCAGGGCCUGUGUUCGCGUGCCUCUCGUUGUGUGCACCGGUAUGUGUAUGAAACGGUAGAUGUGGGGCUUGGCCCGUCCACAGCAUCAGGCGUCCACGGGCGGCUGUGGGAGUCCAGGCAGGAACGCGUCGUCUCCCGGCUGGGAGCGACCAGGAGAUGGUGCUCUGCACGCAGGUGUCCCCUCCCGGAGCCGGGGGCCUGGGGCCAGGAGGCCAUGCCCCCCAGAGCCCGCCCUCCAGGGCCUCGGCCCGGCUUCUGGUGGUGCCGCAGUCCUGGGCGUGGAGACCAGACACGCGUCUGCCCAUGACCUUCUCAUGAGCACAGCACUCACUGGCUGUGGGGUGACCUCCUGUUGACUCGUUUCACUGCAGAGGCCCCAAGAGACUGAAACCCCUGCCAGGUGGGCAAAGUUAACUACACGGUGACCAGACUGUAGCCAUGGCAUGCUGUUCAGUAGCUGAGUCACGUCCGACUGCAGACCCCGUGGAGCACACCAGGCUUCCCUACUCUCUGUUUUCCGGAGUUUGCUCAAAUUCAUGUCCAUUGAAUUUGUGAUGCUAUCCAACCAUCUCACCCUCUGUCAUCCCCUCCUCUCAGGGGCUUUUCCAAUGAGUCAGCUCUUCCCAUCAGGUGGCCAGAGUGUUGGGGCUUCAGCUUCAACAUCAGUCUUGACAUGAAAGUCAAAGUCACUCAGUCAUGUCCGACUCUUUGCAACCCAUUAGACUAUACAGUCCAUGGAAUUCUCCAGUAUUCUUGCCUGAGGAAUCCCAUGGAUGGAGGAACCUGGAGGGCUACAGUCUAUGGGGUCGCAAAGAGUGGGACACGCCUGAGUGACACACACUCGUCAGUGGGGAGAUGGCCUUUGAGCAGGAAUCUGGCCUCCUCCCCCGUCCCCGGUCUCUGAAGUGAAGCAGAUGUUCCUUUCCCACCAACCUGGCCCCUCGAGCACUGGCUGUGGCGCGUGAGCAGCCAGCCCCAGCUUUUGGUAACACCAGCAGGACGUUUCCCCCAGUGGCUCUCUAUCCCCGGCUCUCGGGGCCACUGCGCUCCUCAGGGAGGCUGUGCCCUGUGUGACAGCGAGGUGCCGCCCGCACCGGGCCCGGGUCAUCGGGCGGACGGGGCCCCAGGAUGGCAGUUCUGACGGCCGGGCGUGCAGAGGACUGGCGGAAGCCGGGGAGCAGCCUGACCCGGACGGCAGGGCCACAGCCAGGACCAGCCUUGCCACCGCGUCCGAGACGGCUCACAGGCCUGGCGCCCCCACACGCGACGGGGAGGCGGGCGGGGCCCCAACAGUCCCGUCCUUCCCCAGGAGGCGGCUGCCGGGUGCUGGCCCUGGGCCUGGGCAUUUCCACGGUGCCAUCCGAGCUGGUGCCCAAAACUGCACCAGAGACAGUUUUGAAGCCCCUGCCUUCCUGAUGCUAGACGUUUGUUCUGCUUUCAACUUGCCUGAUUCACGUGUUUGAGGUGAGGGUUCCCCCCC
ensembl:lncRNA